rnacentral:ncRNA from 1 species
UAAAAGGUAGUGAGAAAGAGGAGUACACAACCACCCUUGAAAGAGAGAAUGGUUCACCGGCUGAAAGACCGUUUAAAGUAGGAGUUGUGGAAGGUAGCUUUUGAACCGGAAGGCUGAAUUUGCAGUAGGCUUUCACGAUUAAUCCCCGUUACAGGAUAAGAGAUAUGUAUUACUUGUAGUGCAUAAAUAAAGGUGGUACCGCGAAUUUUCGCCCUUUAC